CCUACGGGAGGCAGCAGUGGGGAAUCUUGCACAAUGGGCGAAAGCCUGAUGCAGCAACGCCGCGUGAGCGAAGAAGGCCUUUGGGUCGUAAAGCUCUGUCUAAAGGGAAGAAGGAAGUGACGGUACCUUAGGAGGAAGCCUCGGCUAACUACGUGCAAGCAGCCGCGGUAAUACGUGGGGGGCAAGCGUUAUCCGGAAUUAUUGGGCGUAAAGAGUAAGUAGGCGGUACGUAAAGCAGAGGGGCUAAGGCGAUGGCUUAACCAUCGUUCGCCCUGUGAACUGGAGGACUUGAGUAUCGGUGAGGAAAGCGGAAUGCCUAGUGUAGCGGUGAAAUGCGUAGAUAUUAGGAGGAACACCAGUGGCGAAGGCGGCUUUCUGGACGAAAACUGACGCUGAGGUACGAAAGCGUGGGGAGCAAACAGGAUUAGAUACCCCAGUAGUC
rnacentral:rRNA from 1 species